rnacentral:rRNA from 1 species
AACGAACGCUGGCGGCAUGCCUAACACAUGCAAGUCGAACGAGAACUUCGGGUCUUGUGGCGCAUGGGUGUGUAACGCGUGGGAACCUGCCCUUAGGUUCGGACUAACUCCCCGACAGGGGUGCUAAUACCGGAUAAUGUCUUCGGCCCAAAGAUUUAUCGCCUGUGGAUGGGCCCGCGUUGGAUUAGCUAGUUGGUAGGGUAAAAGCCUACCAAGGCGACGAUCCAUAGCUGGUCUGAGAGGAUGAUCAGCCACACUGGGACUGAGACCCGGCCCAGACUCCUACGGAAUGCAGCAGUGGGGAAUAGUGGACAAUGGGCGAAGGGCUGAUCCAGCUAGGCCGCGUAAGUUAUGAAGUCCUUAGGGUUGUAAAGCUCUUUUACCCGGGAUGAUAAUGACGGUACCGGGAGAAUAAGCUCCGGCUAACUCCGUG